AUUGAACGCUGGCGGCAUGCUUUACACAUGCAAGUCGAACGGUAACAGGCCUUCGGGUGCUGACGAGUGGCGAACGGGUGAGUAAUGCAUCGGAACGUACCCAGAGGUGGGGGAUAACGCAGCGAAAGCUGUGUUAAUACCGCAUGUGAUCUGAGGAUGAAAGCGGGGGACCGAGCAGCAAUGUUUGGCCUCGCGCCUUUGGAGCGGCCGAUGUCGGAUUAGCUAGUUGGUGGGGUAAAGGCCUACCAAGGCGACGAUCCGUAGCUGGUCUGAGAGGACGACCAGCCACACUGGGACUGAGACACGGCCCAGACUCCUACGGGAGGCAGCAGUGGGGAAUUUUGGACAAUGGGCGCGAGCCUGAUCCAGCAAUGCCGCGUGCGGGAAGAAGGCCUUCGGGUUGUAAACCGCUUUUGGCAGGAACGAAACGGUGUCCGCUAAUACCGGGCGCUAAUGACGGUACCUGCAGAAUAAGCACCGGCUAACUACGUG
rnacentral:rRNA from 1 species